CUUGUGGCCAUAUCACAUAGAAACACCAGUUCCCAUAUGAUCGCCAAAGUUAAGCAACGUCAAGCCUACCCAGUACCUAGAUGAGUGACUACUUAGGAAUACCAGGUGCUGCAA